AUCCACUUUUAUAUUGCAUUUGAAUUUUGAACUUUCAGUUGUAGAGUGUAAUCAGUGACAGUGUAUAUUGUUUUAGUGCAGUGACUCCAAAGGCAUGCAGAGUGUAAAGUUCAUUAUUAAUUUUGAUCAUUCAUUUAUAUCUAAACAUUUGUUAUUGUAAAAUAUCUGUAGGUGCUUUUCCACCAAAUUUCCAGCAUAUAUAUGUGCUUGUUGGUUUAUAUAUGCCCCAGGGGUAUUCAAAAAAGAAACACUGGUUGCAACAAUGUUGUGUUUUGCAGGGCCAGAUUAAUUAACAUUUCGCGGGGCCUGUCCACCUGUGGCAUUUUAUCAGUGCGGGGACCCAAGACAGCGCCCCCCCCCCUGCAUUUUAAACACUGAAUUCAGAAAGAUUCAAAAACAUAAACAUAUCCUUUUGUAUUGUACGUGUUGAGAAGUUGCUUGAAAUUUGUGUAUUUACAAAAA